rnacentral:misc_RNA from 1 species
CCAGAGUUUUUACAACUCCCAACCCUUCUGUGAACCUACCUAUCGUUGCUUCGGCGGACUCGCCCCAGCGUCCGGACGGCCCCGCGCCGGCCCGCGACCUGGACCCAGGCGGCCGCCGGAGGCCCUACAACCCUGUAUCCAUCAGUCUCUCUGAAUCCGCCGCAAGGCAAACAAAUGAAUCA